GUAAGGUCCCUUAAAGAUAAUGAGGUAGAUAGGUUGGAGGUGUAAGCACAGUAAUGUGUUCAGCUGACCAAUACUAAUAGACCGAGGGCUUGACCUAAUAA
rnacentral:rRNA from 1 species